AUUGAACGCUGGCGGCAUGCCUUACACAUGCAAGUCGAACGGUAACAGGUCUUCGGAUGCUGACGAGUGGCGAACGGGUGAGUAAUACAUCGGAACGUGCCCGAGAGUGGGGGAUAACGAGGCGAAAGCUUUGCUAAUACCGCAUACGAUCUCAGGAUGAAAGCAGGGGACCGCAAGGCCUUGCGCUCACGGAGCGGCCGAUGGCAGAUUAGGUAGUUGGUGGGAUAAAAGCUUACCAAGCCGACGAUCUGUAGCUGGUCUGAGAGGACGACCAGCCACACUGGGACUGAGACACGGCCCAGACUCCUACGGGAGGCAGCAGUGGGGAAUUUUGGACAAUGGGCGCAAGCCUGAUCCAGCCAUGCCGCGUGCAGGAUGAAGGCCUUCGGGUUGUAAACUGCUUUUGUACGGAACGAAAAGACUCCUUCUAAUAAAGGGGGUUCAUGACGGUAUUAUAUGAAUAAGCACCGGCUAACUCCGUGCCAGCCGCCGCGGUAAAAC
rnacentral:rRNA from 1 species